GUUCGAUUCCUAUAGUCCUAG
rnacentral:tRNA from 1 species